UCUUCCCAAACCACGUGCGAUUACCCUGAUGAAGUUACAAUCAGGCACACGGACUCCCACACUGUCCAAACCAGGAUUCAAGGACUUCUCAAGUGCACUCGACUCCCCUCUCCUUAAUACAACAGUAACAGGUCCUGGGAGUAGAGAAUCAAGUAAGCCAUGAGGCAGGUGGUCAGUGACUGCAAAUUGCUUUAUGUCUGAUGCAUCCCCAACACAAAUUGCUAGAGGGCUUGUAUGUUUACGUCCUUUGAUCUCGUAAAUCCUAUUAAUUGCUUCCAAAGAGCAGGCGUCACAGGCAAAUCCAUAGAGUGUAUCCGUGGGCACUGCAAUAACUUUUCCAGUUUUGAGGGCUUCAACUGCCUCCUCAGAACACAGUUCGGUGGCAGGCCGAACCACCCCUAACUUGUUCUCAACGUCGACAUCGCAAUUAUCCAAACUCCAAACCAUUUUCUUUGGAAACCCAACUCCAAAUUUCCUUUUCUGGUUCAAAAAUGGCACAAACCCAAUGUUCGGAAAACAAU
rnacentral:misc_RNA from 1 species